CCUACGGGUGGCAGCAGUGGGGAAUUUUGGACAAUGGGCGCAAGCCUGAUCCAGCUCUUCCGCGUGUGGGAAGACGGCCUUCGGGUUGUAAACCACUUUUGUAGAGAACGAAAAGUCUAUUGAUAAUACCGAUAGAUGAUGACGGUACUCUAAGAAUAAGCAGCGGCUUACUACGUGCCAGCAGCCGCGGUAAUACGUAGGGAGCGAGCUUUAAUCGGAAUUACUGGGCGUAAAGGGUGUGACGGCGUGUUUGCAAAAUGUAUGGUAAAGCCACGGGCUUAACCUGGGAAAGCCAUACAUGACUGCAAGACUAGAGUGCGUCAGAGGGGGGUAGAAUUCCAAGGGUAGCAGUGAAAUGCGUAGAUAUUUGGAAGAACACCGAUGGCGAAGGCAGCCCCCUGGGACGCAACUGACGCUCAUACACGAAAGCGUGGGGAGCAAACAGGAUUAGAUACCCCAGUAGUC
rnacentral:rRNA from 1 species